GAAUUGUAAACAAUUCCGUUGCUCAAAGGAAGCCUAAGACAAAACUCUGGUCUGAGGUACACGAACUACAUUCGAGGCUUAACCUUGUGGAUGAGAUUGCAAUUCAAAUCAAAGUCCUAGACUAUCCAAAACAGAAAGCGUGGGAAUAUGCAAAUACAUGAAAAGGAUAUUAGA
rnacentral:ncRNA from 1 species